GAUGAACGCUGGCGGCGUGCUUAACACAUGCAAGUCGAACGAUGAAGCCCAGCUUGCUGGGUGGAUUAGUGGCGAACGGGUGAGUAACACGUGAGUAACCUGCCCUUGACUCUGGGAUAAGCCUGGGAAACUGGGUCUAAUACCGGAUAGGAACGUCCACCGCAUGGUGGUUGUUGGAAAGAUUUAUCGGUCAUGGAUGGACUCGCGGCCUAUCAGCUUGUUGGUGAGGUAAUGGCUCACCAAGGCGACGACGGGUAGCCGGCCUGAGAGGGUGACCGGCCACACUGGGACUGAGACACGGCCCAGACUCCUACGGGAGGCAGCAGUGGGGAAUAUUGCACAAUGGGCGAAAGCCUGAUGCAGCGACGCCGCGUGAGGGAUGACGGCCUUCGGGUUGUAAACCUCUUUCAGUAGGGAAGAAGCGAAAGUGACGGUA
rnacentral:rRNA from 1 species